rnacentral:rRNA from 1 species
UACGGAAGGCAGCAGUGGGGAAUAUUGCACAAUGGGCGCAAGCCUGAUGCAGCCAUGCCGCGUGUAUGAAGAAGGCCUUCGGGUUGUAAAGUACUUUCAGUCGUGAGGAAGGUGUUAAGGUUAAUAACCUUAGCAAUUGACGUUAGCGACAGAAGAAGCACCGGCUAACUCCGUGCCAGCAGCCGCGGUAAUACGGGAGGGUGCGAGCGUUAAUCGGAAUUACUGGGCGUAAAGGGCACGCAGGCGGUUAAUUAAGUUGGAUGUGAAUCCCCGGGCUUAACCUGGGAAUGGCAUUCAAGACUGGUUAGCUAGAGUCUUGUAGAGGGGGUAGAAUUCCAUGUGUAGCGGUGAAAUGCGUAGAGAUGUGGAGGAAUACCGGUGGCGAAGGCGGCCCCUGGACAAAGACUGACGCUCAUGUGCGAAAGCGUGGGGAGCAAACAGGAUUAGAUACC